GUGAAUCAUCGAAUUUUUGAACGCAAAUUGCGCCUUUUUCGGAAGGCCUGUCCGUUUGAGGGCACCAUUUAACAAAUAAUGUGCAGCGUUUUUUGCUGCACACGUUGAUGAGCUUUUCAAGUAUUUUAAAUUUUUGGUGGUGCAUAAUGAACAGCGUGAAUGUUUUUUUCAGUUCGCGUGUAGUAUAAUCUUUGCUUGGGUUGUGCUUAAACAUAAUCGCGGAAUGGGCGUGGUAUUUUAUUUUUCUCCCUUU
rnacentral:misc_RNA from 1 species